rnacentral:rRNA from 1 species
AUUGAACGCUGGCGGCAUGCCUUACACAUGCAAGUCGAACGGCAGCGGACCUUCGGGUGCCGGCGAGUGGCGAACGGGUGAGUAAUAUAUCGGAACGUACCUUUCAGUGGGGGAUAACGUAGCGAAAGUUACGCUAAUACCGCAUAUUCUGUGAGCAGGAAAGCAGGGGAUCGCAAGACCUUGCGCUGAUUGAGCGGCCGAUAUCAGAUUAGCUAGUUGGUGAGGUAAAGGCUCACCAAGGCGACGAUCUGUANCGGGUCUGAGAGGAUGAUCCGCCACACUGGAACUGAGACACGGUCCAGACUCCUACGGGAGGCAGCAGUGGGGAAUUUUGGACAAUGGGCGCAAGCCUGAUCCAGCCAUGCCGCGUGAGUGAAGAAGGCCUUCGGGUUGUAAAGCUCUUUCGGCCGGGAAGAAAUCGCACGGGUUAAUACCCUGUGUGGAUGACGGUACCGGAAUAAGAAGCACCGGCUAACUACGUG